UGGGGAAUUUUGGACAAUGGGCGAAAGCCUGAUCCAGCAAUGCCGCGUGUGUGAAGAAGGCCUUCGGGUUGUAAAGCACUUUUGUCCGGAAAGAAAUCCUUGGCUCUAAUACAGUCGGGGGAUGACGGUACCGGAAGAAUAAGCACCGGCUAACUACGUGCCAGCAGCCGCGGUAAUACGUAGGGUGCAAGCGUUAAUCGGGAUUACUGGGCGUAAAGCGUGCGCAGGCGGUUUGCUAAGACCGAUGUGAAAUCCCCGGGCUCAACCUGGGAACUGCAUUGGUGACUGGCAGGCUAGAGUAUGGCAGAGGGGGGUAGAAUUCCACGUGUAGCAGUGAAAUGCGUAGAGAUGUGGAGGAAUACCGAUGGCGAAGGCAGCCCCCUGGGCCAAUACUGACGCUCAUGCACGAAAGCGUGGGGAGCAAACAGGAUUAGAUACCCUGGUAGUCCACGCCCUAAACGAUGUCAACUAGUUGUUGGGGAUUCAUUUCCUUAGUAACGUAGCUAACGCGUGAAGUUGACCGCCUGGGGAGUACGGUCGCAAGAUUAAAACUUAAAGGAAUUGACGGGGUCAUAGCUGUUUCCU
rnacentral:rRNA from 1 species